AUUGAACGCUGGCGGCAGGCCUACCACCUGCAAGUCGAACGAGUGGCGGACGGGUGAGUAAUGUCUGGGAAACUGCCUGAUGGACGGGGAUAACUACUGGAAACGGUAGCUAAUACCGCAUACCCUCAGAUGUGCCCAGAUUGGAUUAGCUAGUUGGUGGGGUAACGGCUCACCAAGGCCACGAUCCCUAGCUGGUCUGACAGGAUGGCCAGCCACACUGGAACUGAGACACGGUCCAGACGCCUACGGGAGGCAGCAGUGGGGAAUAUUGCACAAUGGGCGCAAGCCUGAUGCAGCCAUUCCGCGUGUAUGAAGAAGGCCUUCGGGUUGUAAAGUACUUUCAGCGGGGAGGCGUUACCCGCAGAAGAAGCACCGGCUAACUCCGUGCCAGCAGCCGCGGUAAUUC
rnacentral:rRNA from 1 species